GAUGAAAAUGAAAUCACUGAUAGCAAUAACCAUCGAUCUUGGAUUUAAAUAUAUUUGCAAUAUAUAAUGUACCCAUCUUCACACUUUUUCCUAAAUUCAGCCAGAUAAUUAAUUUUAUGGAAUAUUGCUGUAUAGCAUAUUUCCUCUAUCUUUCCAUUCAUAGUACCUUUGGAAAUAACUACUAUUAGCCACAACUAAAAUAUUAAUUAAAGGAAAAUUUGGCUGGACACAGUGGCUCACACCUGUAACCCCAGUGCUUUGGAAGGCCAAGGAGAAUCUUUAAAGAUCAUCACAUGGUUAGUCGUGUCCUCUUUUCCUUCUACCCAAAACCUCCAUGUCCUGGAGAGGGAUUGCUCCUUUAACGCAGCCAAAGUAGCCUGGAAUAGAGAUGUAACAUGAGUGACGGAGAAAUCUUUAUUGUUAUGUUGAGAAGACAAAUGCAACGUGUGGAAAAGUGCCCAGUGCUCUUUGAAAGGCCUGAUUUAAAUGUCAGUAAAAAUGUGUUGUGAUGUGAGCAGGACUUGGAUCUUAUUCCCAAGUAAGGCUGGCUAUGAAUCCUGGAUCUGUCAUGAAUCUGUGGAGUGACUUCGGACAAAUUUUCCAACCCUCUUCCAAUCUGAAAAAGCAAAGAAAAUCUGAUGUAAGGUCUUAAUCCUCUGGGUUAUUAAAAUUGAAUAAGAUAAUGUGUAUAAUCAAUGACAUGUAUAUUUGUGUAUGUGUGUGUGCACACACACACACACAGACACACAGGUAUAUAAUAAAUUUG
rnacentral:lncRNA from 13 species